UGACUAGCGAUACACUCCGGCU
rnacentral:miRNA from 1 species